rnacentral:rRNA from 1 species
AACGAACGCUGGCGGCGUGGCUAAGACAUGCAAGUCGAACGGACCAUUAAUUUAUUAGUGGUUAGUGGCGAAAGGGUUAGUAAUGGAUAGGUAACGUACCCUGUGCUUCGGGAUAGCGUCUGAAUGCUUCGGCAUUCUUCCGAAAGGGGCGGUAAUACCGAAUAAUAUUGCCGAGCGAUGGCUCGGUAAUCAAAGAUUUAUCGGCACAUGAGCGGCCUAUCUCCUAUCAGCUUGUUGGUGUGGUAAAGGCGCACCAAGGCUAAGACGGGUAGCGGGACUGAGAGGUUGACCCGCAACAUCGGGACUGAGACACUGCCCGGACCUCCACGGAGGGCUGCAGUAACGAAUAUUGCGCAAUGGGCGAAAGCCUGACGCAGCGACGCCGCGUGUAGGAGGAAGUCCUUCGGGAUGUAAACUACUGUCAGGGGUAAGAAAGUGCGUUUCGGCGUAUUGAUCUAACCCAAAGGAAGUCACGGCUAACUUCGUGCCAGCAGCCGCGGUAAGACGAAGGUGGCGAGCGUUGUUCGGUGUCACUGGGCUUAAAGCGUGUGUAGGCGGAAUCUUAAGCGUCUUGUGAAAUCCCUCGGCUUAACCGAGGAAUUGCUAGGCGAACUGGGGUUCUUGAGGCAAAUAGGGGUGCAUGGAACUCUUGGUGGAGCGUGGAAUGCGUAGAUAUCAAGAGGAACGCCAAUGGUGAAAACAGUGCACUGAGUUUGUCCUGACGCUGAGACACGAAAGCGUGGGUAGCGAACGGAUUAGAUACCCCGGUAGUCCACGCCGUAACGAUGUCUACUGGAUUGUGGCGGUUCUGACGC